rnacentral:rRNA from 1 species
AGCGAACGUUUGCGGCGGGCCUAACACAUGCAAGUCGAACGCACUAGCAAUAGUGAGUGGCGCACGGGUGCGUAACACGUGGGUAAUCAACCCUUCAGCCUGGGAUAACGACUCGAAAGGGUCGCUAAUACCGGAUACGGCGCGAGAGGCUUCGGCUUCUCACGAGAAAGCCACGCAAGGGGCACUGAAGGACGAGCCUGCGGCCCAUCAGCUAGUUGGUGAGGUAAGAGCUCACCAAGGCUAAGACGGGUAGCUGGUCUGAGAGGAUGAUCAGCCACACUGGAACUGAGACACGGUCCAGACUCCUACGGGAGGCAGCAGUGGGGAAUAUUGCGCAAUGGGCGAAAGCCUGACGCAGCCACGCCGCGUGAGCGAUGAAGGCCUUCGGUCGUAAGACUCUGUGGGAGAGAAGAAUAAAGACCUGUGAAGAAUAGGGCCGUUGACGGUAGUACUCCUUAGUCAAGCACCGGCUAACUCCGUGCCA